CCACCAGCCGUUUAACGUCGAGGUCAACGGCUCCAGCUCGGCCGCCUGCCCCUAUGACUACCUGGAGGUACGUGACGGCCUGAGUCCGGCGGCACCGCUGGUGGACCGCUACUGCGGUACACAGCUGCCGCCGGCCAUCACUGCCUCCUCCAGCCGGCUGUACGUGCGCUUCUACUCAGACAGGGAGAUCCAUCGUUCCGGAUUCACAGCCACCGUCACGAACGUCGACUCUGUGUGCGGCCGGACCACCCUGGCGGCUACCGAGACGGUGCAGAUCCUUCAGAGCCCCGGCCACCCCGCCCAGUACCCGGCCAACCUACUCUGCGUCUGGACCAUCG